AGCGAACGCUGGCGGCAGGCCUAACACAUGCAAGUCGAACGAACUCUUCGGAGUUAGUGGCGGACGGGUGAGUAACACGUGGGAACGUGCCUUUAGGUUCGGAAUAACUCAGGGAAACUUGAGCUAAUACCGAAUGUGCCCUUCGGGGGAAAGAUUUAUCGCCUUUAGAGCGGCCCGCGUCUGAUUAGCUUGUUGGUGAGGUAAUGGCUCACCAAGGCUACGAUCAGUAGCUGGUCUGAGAGGAUGACCAGCCACAUUGGGACUGAGACACGGCCCAAACUCCUACGGGAGGCAGCAGUGGGGAAUCUUGCGCAAUGGGCGAAAGCCUGACGCAGCCAUGCCGCGUGUAUGAUGAAGGUCUUAGGAUUGUAAAAUACUUUCACCGGUGAAGAUAAUGACUGUAGCCGGAGAAGAAGCCCCGGCUAACUUCGUGCCAGCCGCCGCCGUAACAC
rnacentral:rRNA from 1 species